GAGCCACACCUUGGUGGUAGAGCAUUUGCCCUGCAUGCAGAAGGUCCCAGGUUCAAUCCCUGGCAUCUCCA